ensembl:lncRNA
UGCGUAGGUAACAGCCAGCCCCUCCUUGGUGUCAUAUGCUGUGAAUGUUGGAAGUGAGCAGCGCUUCGUGUGUGAUGACUCCUGCCAAAUUGCAAAAUGGAAAUUGGCAAGGAUAAAAAAGAAAAACUCUUCAGGAGCAAGAAGGAAAAGAAACAUUCACUGCUAAGAAGAGAAAAUGUGCUGCUGUAACAAAACCAUAAAAGGCUGUAUGAGAUGGAAUCUGGAGGAUCUAAAGAUCUGGAAGCCGAGAAAAUAGUCUGGAAAGAUGGAGAAAAGAAAAACAUGCAAAAAGAAGCAGAUAGAUGUGCAAAAAGCAUUGGCAAGGAGUGAGAGGAUUCUGGUGAAUGACUACUCUGUUAGAGAUCCCAGGCUCUUAGGGCAGAGAAGCUCAGCUGGUCCCAGCACCUGGAAGGAAGCUCCCCCGCUGUCAUCCCAGGCUCCUAGGGCAGAGAAGGUGAGCCACAUGGGUGCCAGAAGCACACCCCCCCCCCCACUGUGGAAAUGAGAAAACACAUAAGUAAGCCUCAAAAACAGAGUUCCAGAUCACCUACAGCAACCCCAAAGGGAAACGAGAUGGAACAAUCUGAUACUAAACCAACUGGACUGUCUGAACUAGCAACAAAAGAGGAUCUGGGAAAAAUGAAAUCAGAAAUAAUUACUCAGCUAACACCAAAGAUUUUGCUCAUGGUGUAAGAUAUGAUUAAUAAAUCUAGAGAGGACACAGAUUAAAAAAAUAGAGGAUCUGAGGAACAUGAUGGAAUCCCAACAUAGGAAACAAAUGGAAUCCAUAAAACAGAUACAAACAGAUUUCCAAGAGAUUAAAAACUCCAUUGAAAGUCCGCACAGCAGAAUGAACCAAUGUGAGGAUAGAAUUUUAGAUAUAGAAGAUAAGAUUGCAAUUAGGGACCAGGAAAAAAACAAUUGCUUUAAAAUUGUAAGAGAACAUGAGAAAUCAAUCCAGCAGCUGCUAGAUGAUGCAAAGAAGAAUAACAUAAGGCUGAUUGGAGUCAAUGAAGAAAGAGGAGAGAGAGCAGAUGAUAUAAAAAAACUGUUCACAGAAGUGAUGGCAGAAACCUUCCCAAGGAGGGGAAAAUAACUUGACAUACAGAUAAGUGAGGCAUAUAGGACUCCACCUAGCCUUAAUCAAAAAAACUACACAUAGGCAUAUAAUAGUUAGGAUUCCAGAAAUCCAACAGAAGAACAAAAUUCUACAAGCAGAGAGAGAAAAGAAACAAAUCACAUACAAAGGAAAACCCAUCAGAAUCACAGCAGACUUCUCAAUGCAAACCCUCAAGGCAAGAAGAGCUUGGAGUGAUGUAUUGCAAGACCUAAAGGAAAACAGCCUCCAACCCAGAUUGAUGUAUCCUGAAAAACUAUCUUUCAAAAUUGAUGGAGAAAUAAGAUACUUUCAUGACAAAGAGCACCUUAGGAACUUCAUGAAUACCAAACCGGCACUCCAAAAAAUUUUAGACAAUACCCUAGGAAAAGACAAUGAGGAUCAGAAUCCCAGGAAACCCAGCAGAAUGAAUCCAUUGGAUGUGACAAAUUAAAUGCAAAGAGGGAGAAUCCAAUAAAAAGAAAAAGUCAUGACAAGGCUUUUAAAACUUUUAGCUUCAUCUCCCUAAUGAGUGUAUAAUUCAAUCUUAUUGUACUGAUUAGUAUUUUUCUGAUUCUAGAGUUGCACACCAUUCCUUGUGCUAUACUGGCUAUUUAUCAUCUUCUUAGGUCUACAUUUUAAUUGGGUUGUCUAUUAAUGAGCUCUAAGAAUUCUUUAUAUAUUCUGG